AUUGAACGCUGGCGGCAGGCCUAACACAUGCAAGUCGAGCGGAUGAAGGGAGCUUGCUCCUGGAUUCAGCGGCGGACGGGUGAGUAAUGCCUAGGAAUCUGCCUGGUAGUGGGGGAUAACGUCCGGAAACGGGCGCUAAUACCGCAUACGUCCUGAGGGAGAAAGUGGGGGAUCUUCGGACCUCACGCUAUCAGAUGAGCCUAGGUCGGAUUAGCUAGUUGGUGGGGUAAAGGCCUACCAAGGCGACGAUCCGUAACUGGUCUGAGAGGAUGAUCAGUCACAAUGGAACUGAGAAACGGUCCCGGCUCCUACGGGAGGCAGCAGGGGGGAAUAUUGGACAAUGGGGGGAAGGCUGGUCCCAGCAUGGCGGGGGGGGGAAGAAGGUCUUCGGAUUGUAAAGCACUUUAAGUUGGGAGGAAGGGCAGUAAGUUAAUACCUUGCUGUUUUGACGUUACCAACAGAAUAAGCACCGGCUAACUUCGUG
rnacentral:rRNA from 1 species